rnacentral:rRNA from 1 species
GAUGAACGCUGGCGGCGUGCCUAAUACAUGCAAGUCGAGCGAACAGACGAGGAGCUUGCUCCUCUGACGUUAGCGGCGGACGGGUGAGUAACACGUGGAUAACCUACUUAUAAGACUGGGAUAACUUCGGGAAACCGGAGCUAAUACCGGAUAAUAUAUUGAACCGCAUGGUUCAAUAGUGAAAGACGGUUUUGCUAUCACUUAUAGAUGGAUCCGCGCCGCAUUAGCUAGUUGGUAAGGUAACGGCUUACCAAGGCAACGAUGCGUAGCCGACCUGAGAGGGUGAUCGGCCACACUGGAACUGAGACACGGUCCAGACUCCUACGGGAGGCAGCAGUAGGGAAUCUUCCGCAAUGGGCGAAAGCCUGACGGAGCAACGCCGCGUGAGUGAUGAAGGUCUUCGGAUCGUAAAACUCUGUUAUUAGGGAAGAACAAAUGUGUAAGUAACUAUGCACGUCUUGACGGUACCUAAUCAGAAAGCCACGGCUAACUACGUG